rfam:Schistosoma curassoni strain Dakar, Senegal genome assembly, scaffold: SCTD_scaffold0004194
AUCCACCUGACGAGUCCUACAUAGAACGGAACGCUCGUCCUGAAU